GCUCAACCGAAGAAGUGCAUCGGAAACUGGGAAACUUGAGUGCAGAAGAGGACAGUGGAACUCCAUGUGUAGCGGUGAAAUGCGUAGAUAUAUGGAAGAACACCAGUGGCGAAGGCGGCUGUCUGGUCUGUAACUGACGCUGAGGCUCGAAAGUAUGAGUAGAAACAGGAUUAGAUACCCUGGUAGUCCAUACCGUAAACGAUGAAUGCUAAGUGUUGGAGGGUUUCCGCCCUUCAGUGCUGCAGCUAACGCAUUAAGCAUUCCGCCUGGGGAGUACGGCCGCAAGGCUGAAACUCAAAGGAAUUGACGGGGGCCCGCACAAGCGGUGGAGCAUGUGGUUUAAUUCGAAGCUACGCGAAGAACCUUACCAGGUCUUGACAUACUAUGCAAAUCUAAGAGAUUAGACGUUCCCUUCGGGGACAUGGAUACAGGUGGUGCAUGGUUGUCGUCAGCUCGUGUCGUGAGAUGUUGGGUUAAGUCCCGCAACGAGCGCAACCCUUAUUAUCAGUUGCCAGCAUUAAGUUGGGCACUCUGGUGAGACUGCCGGUGACAAACCGGAGGAAGGUGGGGAUGACGUCAAAUCAUCAUGCCCCUUAUGACCUGGGCUACACACGUGCUACAAUGGAUGGUACAACG
rnacentral:rRNA from 1 species